AGUGAACGCUGGCGGCAGGCCUAACACAUGCAAGUCGAGCGGCAGCACGGGUAGCAAUACCUGGUGGCGGGCGGCGGACGGGUGAGGAAUACAUCGGAAUCUGCCUUGUUGUGGGGGAUAACGUAGGGAAACUUACGCUAAUACCGCAUAAGACCGAGAGGUGAAAGCGGGGGAUCGAAAGACCUCGCGCGACAAGAUGAGCCGAUGUCGGAUUAGCUAGUUGGCGGGGUAAAGGCCCACCAAGGCGACGAUCCGUAGCUGGUCUGAGAGGAUGAUCAGCCACACUGGAACUGAGACACGGUCCAGACUCCUACGGGAGGCAACAGU
rnacentral:rRNA from 1 species